UGCCCUACAUGAGGUACAGCAGAAAG
rnacentral:piRNA from 1 species